AAUAUCCAAACGUGUGGCAACCCAUAUGCAUAGGUUCCCAAUGUCACAAACCCGCAAGUUGAUCACCACAAAUAGACACGUGCAAGACAUACAUCAAGUGUUCUCAAAGACUCAAUCCGAUAAGAUAACACCAAAGGGAAAACUCAAUUCAUUACAAGAGGGGAGAGGGGCAAGAACAUCAUAAGAUCCAACUAUAGUAGCAAAGCCCGCCGUACAUCGAGAUCAAGACAUCUCAAGAACACGAGAGAGAGAGAUCAAACACAUAGCUACUGGUACAUGCCCUCAGCCCCGAGGGUGAACUACUCCCUCCUCGUCAUGGAGAUCGCCGGGAUGAUGAAGAUGGCCACCGGAGAUGGAUUCCCCCUCCGGCAGGGUGCCGGAACGAGCUCCAGAUUGGUUAUUUGGUGGCUACAGAGGCUUGCGGCAGCGGAACUCCUCAUCUAGGUUUCUUUUUGGGGGUUUCUGUAUUUAUAGGAAUUUAUGGCGAUGGAAUUAUGUUGGUUGGGCCCACAAGGAGGUCACAAGCCUGGUAGGUGCGGCCUAGGGGGUCGCGCCUCCCGGGCUUGUGACUCCCUCGUGGCUCUUUUGGCCUUCUUCCAAACCUUCGAGGGUCUCUCUUGGUCCAAAAAAAUAAUCGUAAAGUUUAUUCCAUUUGGACUCUGUGUGAAAAAGGGUCAAAAACACGGAAAGAACAGAAACUUGCACUUGCUACUGAGUUAAUAGGUUAGUCCCAAAAAGAUAUAAAAUAGCAUAUUCAUGCAUAUAAAAGAUCCAAAGUUGACAAGAUAAUAGCAUGGAACCAUCAAAAAUUAUAGAUACGUUGGAGACGUAUCAGGCAACAUUAAAAUUUUAUUCUUAAAAGUGUAUAUAAAAUAUUCUCGGAUUGGGUCGAAACUUGGUGUGCGGUCUUAAUACAAUGUAGCUAGACCGUUUGUCAAAUUUUGUCGCAAUCGAAGUCCAUUUGAUACCCGAACGAUAGACCGUAGCGGCAGCGUCAUCGGUUUAUUAUCCGAUGCUUUUAGGUUUUAAAAACCCUUUCACGGGCUGUCAUAUUUCCUAUCUUCUGAAGCCCAUGGAAAUCUAUCACAGCCACCUAGCCCAUCUAAGCUCCACCUCCGUUAGUGGCCAUCGGAUCAUCGUCGAACGGACGCAAUUCAUCCCACGAGUCUCAUCCCCAUAUUUUUUGCACGCAUUUUUACUUGUUGUUAUGGCCGCUUGGGCCUAGUCCGCACUGGGCCGCUGCAGCCUACUUUAAUCCGUCCCUUGUUAUGUUUUUUCCUUUCUUUCUACCUUGGGAAGAAUUUACUAAUUAACUAGGAAAUAAAUUGUUUUACAGUUGAGUCCCUCAAGUUCAUGCAUUAAUAACUAACCAACAAUGCAUCAUAUGCAAAAACUUUAAACAUAUAAAAUGCUCAGAAUUUUGUGUAGUUUCAUAAUAUCCACCCCGCACGUGUGUUUAAAAUGUUCAAAUUGUUGUUUUAAUUUAAUUUGCUCAAAUGCCACGCUAAAACGGUUUUCAUCAAAAUUAAUUAACCGUAG
rnacentral:lncRNA from 1 species